UGGUGGAAUGAAUACUCUAGUAUGAAUGCUAGUGCAAUAGAAAUUUCCCACUUUCAAGGACAAUUUAGCACAGUUUAGCCAUAACAAAGGUGUAUGCCUUAUUAUAUAGCAAAUCUCUCUUUAUCUGCCUUAGAGAAAGAAGUACAAUAUGCUCAAGAAAGCAUAUAAAAAUAUAUAUUUUUUUAUCAGUGUGAUAGUAGCAGAACUAGAAAGAACCUGUUUUUGUCAGUGGGAGUAUGGCUCAAUAAUCUAUGGUAAAUGAAUGAUAAGGGAAUACUAUGAAUAACUAUAUGACAACAAAUUAGAUAACUUAGAUGAUAUAUAUUUCUAGAAAGACUGAAACUAAACUGAAUCAAGAAGAACAAGAACAUAUGACUGGACUUAAUAAGUAGUGAAAAGAUUUGAUUAGUAUUUAACAUAUUUCCCAUUAAGAAAUCUUAGGUCAGAUGACUUCACUUUUUAAUUCUAUCAAAGAUUUAAAGAAGAGUUAAUACUAGCUCUUUACAAACUCUUCAAAAAAAUACAAGAUUUCACACUUCUCAAUUUAUUCUAUGAGAUUAGUGUUACUCUGAUACCAAAACUAGUCAAUCACAAGAAAAUAAGUCUACAGAUAAAUAUGAGUUAUGAAUGUGAAUACAAAAAUCCUCACCAAAACACUAGCAAAUUGAAUCCAACAACAUAUGAAAAAGCUUAUAUUUAUGAACAUGUGGGAUUUAUCUUAGAAAUGCAAGGUUGAUUUAAAAUGCAGGUAUCAAUUUACAUAAUGUAUAAUAUUGAUUGAAUAUAAGAAAAAAAUCACGUCAGCUCACUAGAUUCAGUAAAUGCACUUGACAAAUUCAAUAAAUGCAUCUUUUCAUGAUAAAAAAAAUUCCAUCAACCAGGAACAGAAAGAAACUUCCUAAACCUGAUGAAGGCCAUUUACAAAACCCAUAGUCAACGUCAUACUCAGUGGUAAAGAAUGUAUAAUUUCUCCCUAUGCUCAGAAACAAGACAAGGCAUUCACUUCUAUUCAUCAUUAUAGUGGAGGUUCUUGCAAGGGCAGUUACAGAAGAAAAGGAAAAAAAAGUGUCUGCAUUGGUGAGGAAGAAGUAAAACUACCUCUAUUUGCAAAUGACAUAAUUUUAGAUAUAAAAACAUCCUGAGUUCUUCUAAAAUCUAUUGGAAGUAAUGAAUGAAUUCAUCAAGGCUGCAAUAUACAAGAUCAAAAAACAAAAACAAAUGAAUUUCUAUACACUAGCUGUUAUGGUUUGAAUUGUGUCUGCUCAAAAGAUAUGUUGAAGUUCUCACCCCGUGCUACCUCAGGGUGACCUUAUUUGGAAACAGGGUUAUUGCCGAUAUCAUUAGUUGAGAUGAGGUCAUACUGGGGUAGGAUGGGCCUAUAAUCCAGUGUGACUAAUGCCCUUAAAGGAAUUGGAGAAGACAGAUAAACAUGGAAGAAAGACUGCUUAUAUAAAGAUGGAGGCAGAGAUUGAAUUUAUUCUGCCUCAAUCCAAAGAAUGCCAGGGACUACCAGUGAUUAGAAUAGGCAUGGUAGAUUCCUUUCCUGGGUGUUUCAGAGGGAGCAUGCUGUGCCAACGGUUUAAUUUUGUAUUUCAAGUCUCCAGGCUGUGAGAAAAUAAAUUCUUAUUGUCUUA